UAGGGAAUCUUCGGCAAUGGGGGCAACCCUGACCGAGCAACGCCGCGUGAGUGAAGAAGGUUUUCGGAUCGUAAAGCUCUGUUGUAAGAGAAGAACGAGUGUGAGAGUGGAAAGUUCACACUGUGACGGUAACUUACCAGAAAGGGACGGCUAACUACGUGCCAGCAGCCGCGGUAAUACGUAGGUCCCGAGCGUUAUCCGGAUUUAUUGGGCGUAAAGCGAGCGUAGGCGGUUUGAUAAGUCUGAAGUUAAAGGCUGUGGCUCAACCAUAGUUCGCUUUGGAAACUGUCAAACUUGAGUGCAGAAGGGGAGAGUGGAAUUCCAUGUGUAGCGGUGAAAUGCGUAGAUAUAUGGAGGAACACCGGUGGCGAAAGCGGCUCUCUGGUCUGUAACUGACGCUGAGGCUCGAAAGCGUGGGGAGCGAACAGGAUUAGAUACCCUGGUAGUCCACGCCGUNNCGAUGAGUGCUAGGUGUUGGAUCCUUUCCGGGAUUCAGCGCCGCAGCUAACGCAUUAAGCACUCCGCCUGGGGAGUACGACCGCAAGGUU
rnacentral:rRNA from 1 species